rnacentral:rRNA from 1 species
UACGUAGGGUGCGAGCGUUGUCCGGAAUUAUUGGGCGUAAAGAGCUCGUAGGCGGUGUGUCGCGUCGGCCGUGAAAACCUGGGGCUCAACUCUGGGCGUGCGGUUCGAUACGGGCAUCACUUGAGUUCGGCAGGGGAGACUGGAAUUCCUGGUGUAGCGGUGAAAUGCGCAGAUAUCAGGAGGAACACCGGUGGCGAAGGCGGGUCUCUGGGCCGAUACUGACGCUGAGGAGCGAAAGCCAUGGGUAGCGAACAGG